rnacentral:pre_miRNA from 1 species
UGUUAAAAAAUUCUUCUAUUUUUAUUGUUAAAAAACUAGCAUGAUUGAUAAAAUAACAAGACAAUGACACGUGACAUGCCAUGUGUACUUCAUACUGACGUAUAUAAACCAAUUUUUAAUAGUAUAAAUUGAGAAAAUAUUUUAUA